rnacentral:rRNA from 1 species
AGGGAAUAUUGGACAAUGGGGGCAACCCUGAUCCAGCCAUGCCGCGUGAGUGAAGAAGGCCCUCGGGUUGUAAAGCUCUUUUGUCGGGAAAGAAAAGCUUCGGGUUAAUACCCCGGGGUUCUGACGGUACCGGAAGAAUAAGCACCGGCUAACUUCGUGCCAGCAGCCGCGGUAAUACGAAGGGUGCAAGCGUUACUCGGAAUUACUGGGCGUAAAGCGUGCGCAGGCGGUUUUGUAAGACAGAUGUGAAAUCCCCGGGCUUAACCUGGGAACUGCGUUUGUGACUGCAAGGCUGGAGUACGGCAGAGNGGGGUGGAAUUCCACGUGUAGCAGUGAAAUGCGUAGAGAUGUGGAGGAACACCGAUGGCGAAGGCAGCCCCCUGGGCCUGUACUGACGCUCAUGCACGAAAGCGUGGGGAGCAAACA